rnacentral:rRNA from 1 species
GACGAACGCUGGCGGCGUGCUUUACACAUGCAAGUCGAACGGAAAGGCCCUGCUUUUGUGGGGUGCUCGAGUGGCGAACGGGUGAGUAACACGUGAGUAACCUGCCCUUGACUUUGGGAUAACUUCAGGAAACUGGGGCUAAUACCGGAUAGGAGCUCCUGCUGCAUGGGGGGGGUUGGAAAGUUUCGGCGGUUGGGGAUGGACUCGCGGCUUAUCAGCUUGUUGGUGGGGUAGUGGCUUACCAAGGCUUUGACGGGUAGCCGGCCUGAGAGGGUGACCGGCCACAUUGGGACUGAGAUACGGCCCAGACUCCUACGGGAGGCAGCAGUGGGGAAUAUUGCACAAUGGGCGGAAGCCUGAUGCAGCAACGCCGCGUGCGGGAUGACGGCCUUCGGGUUGUAAACCGCUUUCGCCUGUGACGAAGCGUGAGUGACGGUAAUGGGUAAAGAAGCACCGGCUAACUACGUG